rnacentral:tRNA from 1 species
GGGGUUGUGGCUCAGCGGUAAAGUGUUCACCUACCACGUGUAAGGCCCUGGGUUUGAUCCUCAGCACCACUU